rnacentral:rRNA from 1 species
AGUGAACGCUGGCGGUAGGCCUAACACAUGCAAGUCGAACGGCAGCACAGUAAGAGCUUGCUCUUACGGGUGGCGAGUGGCGGACGGGUGAGGAAUACAUCGGAAUCUACUUUUUCGUGGGGGAUAACGUAGGGAAACUUACGCUAAUACCGCAUACGACCUACGGGUGAAAGCAGGGGAUCUUCGGACCUUGCGCGAUUGAAUGAGCCGAUGUCGGAUUAGCUAGUUGGCGGGGUAAAGGCCCACCAAGGCGACGAUCCGUAGCUGGUCUGAGAGGAUGAUCAGCCACACUGGAACUGAGACACGGUCCAGACUCCGACGGGAGGCAGAAGUGGGGAAUAUUGGACAAUGGGCGCAAGCCUGAUCCAGCCAUACCGCGUGGGUGAAGAAGGCCUUCGGGUUGUAAAGCCCUUUUGUUGGGAAAGAAAAGCAGCAGGUUAAUACCCCGCUGUUCUGACGGUACCCAAAGAAUAAGCACCGGCUAACUUCGU